rnacentral:rRNA from 1 species
CCUACGGGAGGCAGCAGUGAGGAAUAUUGGUCAAUGGACGAGAGUCUGAACCAGCCAAGUCGCGUGAAGGAUGACUGCCCUAUGGGUUGUAAACUUCUUUUAUAUGGGAAUAAAACAGGGCAUGCAUACCCUCUUGUAUGUCCCCUAUGAAUAAGGAUCGGCUAACUCCGUGCCAGCAGCCGCGGUAAUACGGAGGAUCCGCGCGUUAUCCGGAUUUAUUGGGUUUAAAGGGAGCGUAGGUGGAUUGUUAAGUCAGGUGUGAAAGUUAGCGGCUCAACCGUAAAAUUGCAGUUGAAACUGGCAGUCUGGAGUACAGUAGAGGUAGGCGGAAUUCGUGGUGUAGCGGUGAAAUGCUUAGAUAUCACGAAGAACUCCGAUUGCGAAGGCAGCUCACUGGACUGUAACUGACACUGAUGCUCGAAAGUGUGGGUAUCAAACAGGAUUAGAUACCCCUGUAGUC